rnacentral:misc_RNA from 1 species
GGACACAAGAAGAGUCCAUUUCGCUCAGCGUCUCUAGUGAGGGAUUGAUACCAAACAACACAAUACCUAUCUCCUCUUUGAUCUAAACGGAAUAUUACCCCAAAACUUUCACAAUUCAGUUCCUGGUGUUNNNNGUAGUUUUGGAGGUCAAUAAAAAGUUCAGGAGUACAAUCUGCUGCUGUAGCAUUAAUGGAGCAAAGUGUUGCUAUCGAGGAGAAUGAGGAUUCACGGAAUGGCCUU